CAAGUCGCGUGCGCAGUUGCCGUAGCAAUACGGUGAUGGGCGCACGGCGCACGGGUGCGUAACACGUGGGCAAUCUGCCCUCUGAUGGGGAAUAACCCGCCGAAAGGCGGGCUAAUUCCGCAUAAGAUUCCCGGGACUUCGGUCCUGGGAUUGAAAGCAGUAAUGCGUCGGAGGAGGAGCCCGCGCCCGAUUAGCUAGUUGGUGAGGUAACGGCUCACCAAGGCUAUGAUCGGUAGCUGGUCUGAGAGGAUGAUCAGCCACACUGGAACUGAGACGCGGUCCAGACUCCUACGGGAGGCAGCAGUGGGGAAUCUUGCACAAUGGGCGAAAGCCUGAUGCAGCGACGCCGCGUGGGGGAUGAAGCAUUUCGGUGUGUAAACCCCUUUCGACUGGGACGAAUGCCUCGCAAGAGGAGUGACGGUACCAGUAGAAGAAGCCCCGGCUAACUACGUGCCAGCAGCCGCGGUAAGACGUAGGGGGCCAGCGUUGUUCGGAAUUACUGGGUGUAAAGGGUUCGUAGGCGGUGCGGCAAGUUGGGAGUGAAAUCUCUGGGCUUAACCCAGAGGCUGCUUCCAAAACUGCUGUGCUCGAGUGUGAGAGAGGCGCGUGGAAUUGCAGGUGUAGCGGUGAAAUGCGUAGAUAUCUGCAGGAACACCCGUGGCGAAAGCGGCGCGCUGGAUCACUACUGACGCUGAGGAACGAAAGCUAGGGGAGCAAACAGGAUUAGAUACCCUGGUAGUCCUAGCCCUAAACGAUCAGGACUUGGGGUGCCGCCCGUUCGGCCGUCGUCCCGGAGCUAACGCGUUAAGUCCUGCACCUGGGGAGUACGGUCGCAAGACUGAAACUCAAAGGAAUUGACGGGGGCCC
rnacentral:rRNA from 1 species